ensembl:lncRNA
GCUUCUGGUCCACUGGGCUGCGCAUCGGGACGUUAAGGCUGCAAAAGAGAUUCCGUCACUCCCAGUUGAAGAGUACCUAUGAUACAAAUGAAAGACUCCUACGUGCUAUAAAGCUGACAGCAACAACUCAUGGCAGGAUCGAUGGCGGAUUACGAGGCUCAUGGAGCUGCAUAGAGAGGAGGGCUCAGACUGAAGCCGCAGCUCUCAUUAAAACCCGGCCUGAUCUCAGCCGAGCCCUGGGAAAGGAGGGUUGAGAAAGGCAAGAAAGAAGCAGAGGAAGGAAGAACAUACAGGGAAGAAGAAAAGGGAAAAUCUAAGGGGAAAAAAAAGACAAAAAAAUGUAACUGUCCCCUUCGGACACGGCCUCUGCUGGACUCUUAUAAAU